ACACACACACACACACACACACACACACAGUACGUGCGUGUGCGCGUGUGCUGUAUUACACACAUGCAUAAAAGCAUUGGAAGAUAUCAAGUGACAAGUUGGAUAGAGAGUACAAAGAAACGAGAUGGGCUCGAUCAUGAUGGGAUGUUGCGCGUAGAAUAUGAAAUAUGACGUAUCGUGUUAUUGAACGAUAACUGCAAGUUAUUAGAGUCGAUUGACGCGAGUAAUUCGAUGUAAGGAGCGCGUGAAGCGUCUCUCACCGUGUGCGUGCCGUGUACAAGGCUGUAUCUGUAGCUCGGUUGUUACUCUCGCGAUUGCGACGUUGCACGGUUGCGAGAUCUCACGUACGUAAAUUACUUCGUUAGAGAUGCCGUUUGACAAAUUUUGCUCUCAGAUAGUAUAUAGUUGCGAGGCGCUCAUCGACACUCGUGCUUUGAUCGUGGACGUAAUCGCGUAAUAAUUUGCUCAGUACAUUCGACUUUGGCGCGCAGUUUACAUCUCGUCUGACAAUUGCUGAUUCUAAUAGUUUUGCGCUUCGUCAAGAGUACGUUAUUGUUCAGGAUUACGAGUGAAUUACGAGUGGAUAAUCAAUUGCAUUAUUCGCGGGAAGAAAAUGCAAAGUGGCAGUAAUUUGAAUCAAUUCAAUGACGAUGACUUUUUCAGUAGUGGACCAUGUCCAUCGUGCAGAUUAGCUAUCAAUAAGGAAACCGGUAGACUCAAAUGGUGUCCUGGUGGAAAUGAAACCUGGCGCUUCCGUAUCAAACUAAUGCUUCUUAUACCCGCGAUGUUGCUGCCGAUUACCAUAGUGUUUAUCGCUUUGUCACGAUUUCAAGCCACAACCGAAGCCUCCGAGUCGCGUGUCGUUUCUAUUUACAAGAUACAGGAACAGGAUAAACAAAAAAUCACUGACGUCUUUUGGCCUGCUAUCAGUCACAACGACGCAGAACACACAGCGGAAGGAACCGAAGAAGAGAACCGACUUUUGCUUCCCGAUAUGAAAACGAGUUAUGUGCCCGUAGACACGUAUUCUUCAUUUCAAUCGCGAUCACGAUCGCUUCACCGUCGCAAGAGAGACAUCGACGGGGAGAAUCACACGAGAGAUGGAUUCGAAUUGGACGAUCGAGCAACGUUCUCGUCUCGUGCACAUGCCCGUUUAGCUAACGACAAACUGGCAGAUUUUCUUUCGAGGGAAGACUCGGAUGGAAAAAAUAGUACGAUGGAGAGAGUCUUUUCGGCUUCCGACAACGUAAAGCCGAACGUCGACAAAGUCAAGAUGAAGAACGGUGAAAGCAACGACGCGCAAGAAGAUAAGAUUGAAGAAAAUAAUUUCUUGGGCGAUUACUAUCCGGAAGAAGAAAUUGAUGAUAUUCACGAAAGCAGUGGAACAAGGUGUAAUUGUCGCUAUUCCGGAAAGACAGAAGAAGCGAUGUCAUUUGAAUUCAGUGAUAAAUUCGCGACAGACAUAAAUAUUGAAAAACGAUCGAAGAAGGAAUUGGCGAGAACCCAAAAAGAAGACUCGUUUUCUAUUUCCAUCAAUGAAACGUGGCUAUCGCUAGUUGAAGGACGUGAUGCGAUCGAGAAUGAUGAAAUAUCUGAUCUUCGUACAUUUUGGAAAGGCGAGGGAAAUGCAAAGAGUAUCAGAGAGGCCCGAGCUCAGAUAAUGCUGAGAUAUAUGGAUAAAAGCGUGGAUCCGUGUGAAGAUUUCUAUCAAUAUGCUUGCGGCAAUUGGGCGAAACGUAAUCCUAUUCCAAAAGACAAAGCUGGCUAUGAUACUUUUGAAAUGCUCAGGGAAUCGCUGGAUUCUGUAUUGAGAGAGUUAUUAGAGGACCCGAUAUCAGGCGACGCCGAUGAGAUAAAUGCCGACGAUGCUACGGUAAAGGCGAAAUAUUUGUUUCAAAGUUGCAUGAAUCAUGAUAUUCUGAAGCAACGUAUGGAACAACCACUAAUUCGACUUCUGGAUUAUCUCGGUGGUUGGCCGAUUCUGAGACCGGAUUGGAAUCCUGACAAAUUCGAUUGGCUUCUCUUGACCGCACAACUUCGAUUGUACAAUAAUGACGUAUUAAUUUCGGAAUGGGUGGGUCCAGAUAUUAAAAACAGCGACAAAUACGUGAUACAGUUUGAUCAAACGUCACUCGGGCUUCCUACAAGGGAUUAUUUUCUACAAUCGUCUAACACGAUUUAUCUAGAAGCCUACAAGGAUUACUUGAUGAAAAUCGCAAUUCUACUCGGCGCAUCCUUGGAUAAUGUGACUAUUCAAGCCAAAGAGAUGAUUGAAUUUGAAACGCAACUCGCUUCUAUUACAUCAUCACCGGACGAAAGACGAAAUUUUUCGGAACUAUAUCAACGAAUGAGCAUUGGUGAAUUAAGAACGCUUGUGCCGCAAAUCGAUUGGCGCCGUUACUUGUCGAUCGUUUUGGCUCGACCGAUAAAUUUUUCCGAACCAGUUGUUGUCUUUGCGUUGCAAUAUAUUCAAGAUUUGGUUGUUUUACUUUCAAAGACGCAACCUAGAACAGUGGCGAAUUAUCUCUUGUGGAGAUUUGUACGGCACAGAGUGAACAACUUGGAUGAUCGUUUCCAGGAGGUUAAACAGAAAUUUUACUAUAUUUUAUUUGGUAGAGAACAAGCACCGUCAAGAUGGAAAAAUUGCGUAACCCAAGUUAAUUCUAACAUGGGCAUGGCCGUCGGAUCGAUGUUUGUUAGAAAGUAUUUCGACGAAAACAGUAAAAACGAUACAUUAUCUAUGACUCGAGAGAUACAGCGAUCCUUUAGAGAGCUGCUUAACAAAACCAAUUGGAUUGACGACGAAACAAAAUACUUGGCGACUGAGAAAGUGAACGCUAUGUCACUGAGAAUCGGUUAUCCAGAUUUCAUCCUACAGCCACAUCUACUGAAUGAGCGUUAUAAGGACGUUGUAAUUCGACCAAACGAGUACUUUGAAAAUAUUUUUAAAUAUUUUUACAACAUUUUGACCAGAAUUGAGCAAAAUCGUCUUGGCAACACCGUCAAUAAAACUUUGUGGAACACUGCCCCAGCGGUCGUCAAUGCUUACUACAGUCGCAAUAAAAAUCAGAUAAGUCAGUUCAAUGUUUCCAGCGGGCAUACUACAGCCUCCUUUUUAUCAUAGAUUUUUUCCACGAAGUUUAAAUUACGGUGGAAUUGGUGUUGUGAUUGGACACGAGAUUACUCAUGGAUUUGACGAUAAAGGUAGACUGUUCGAUAAGGACGGGAAUCUUCAUAGAUGGUGGAAAGAUGAAACGAUCGAUGGUUUUCAUCGGCGAGCGCAGUGUCUCAUCGAUCAAUACGCACGUUAUACCGUGACGGAAGUUGGUAUGCAUAUAGAUGGCGUUAAUACACAAGGCGAAAAUAUUGCUGAUAAUGGUGGCAUUAAACAAGCAUUUAGAG
rnacentral:misc_RNA from 1 species